GGUAGAACUGCUGGAUCAUAUGAUACUUCUAUUUUUAGUUUUAAAAGCAACUUCCAUGCUGUUUUCCAAAGUGACUAUACCUAUUUACAUUUCCUCCAACAGU
rnacentral:pre_miRNA from 1 species